UUGACCUCAAAUCGGGUGAGACUACCCGCUGAACUUAAGCAUA
rnacentral:rRNA from 15 species